rnacentral:rRNA from 1 species
CAGGAUGAACGCUGGCGGCGUGCCUAAUACAUGCAAGUCGAACGAAUCUUCUUCGGAAGAUGAGUGGCGAACGGGUGAGUAAUACAUAGGUAACCUGCCCCUGUGCGGGGGAUAACAGGAGGAAACUCCUGCUAAUACCGCAUAGCCAUGAGCACCGCAUGGAGCUCAUGCCAAAUAUCCUUUCGGGGAUAGCGCAGGGAUGGACCUAUGGCGCAUUAGCUGGUUGGCGGGGCAACGGCCCACCAAGGCAACGAUGCGUAGCCGGCCUGAGAGGGCGGACGGCCACAUUGGGACUGAGACACGGCCCAGACUCCUACGGGAGGCAGCAGUAGGGAAUUUUCGGCAAUGGGGGAAACCCUGACCGAGCAACGCCGCGUGAGCGAAGAAGGCCUUCGGGUCGUAAAGCUCUGUUGUAAAGGAAGAACGGCGCAUACAGGAAAUGGUAUGCGAGUGACGGUACUUUACCAGAAAGCCACGGCUAACUACGUGCCAGCAGCCGCGGUAAUACGUAGGUGGCGAGCGUUAUCCGGAAUCAUUGGGCGUAAAGAGGGAGCAGGCGGCCGCAAGGGUCUGUGGUGAAAGACCGAAGCUAAACUUCGGUAAGCCAUGGAAACCGGGCGGCUAGAGUGCGGAAGAGGAUCGUGGAAUUCCAUGUGUAGCGGUGAAAUGCGUAGAUAUAUGGAGGAACACCAGUGGCGAAGGCGACGGUCUGGGCCGCAACUGACGCUCAUUCCCGAAAGCGUGGGGAGCAAAUAGGAUUAGAUACCCUAGUAGUCCACGCCGUAAACGAUGGUCACUAAGUGUCGGGGGUCAAACCCCGGUGCUGCAGUCAACGCAGUAAGUGACCCGCCU